UCUCCGUUGGUGAACCAGCGGAGGGAUCAUUACAGGACUCGCAAGACUCCUUACACCCUGUGAACCUUACUGUAUACGCGUUGCUUCGGCGGGUCCGCCCGCCGGCAGCAUACCACAUUCUGUUUCUCUGCGUUGGCAUCUCGAGAAAAAAGCAAAUAAGUUAAAACUUUCAACAACGGAUCUCUUGGUUCUG
rnacentral:misc_RNA from 1 species